rnacentral:rRNA from 1 species
UCCUGUCUGAAUAUGGGGGGACCAUCCUCCAAGGCUAAAUACUCCUGACUGACCGAUAGUGAACCAGUACCGUGAGGGAAAGGCGAAAAGAACCCCGGCGAGGGGAGUGAAAAAGAACCUGAAACCGUGUACGUACAAGCAGUGGGAGCCCCACCACUAAGCCAGUGGUGAACUCCACAUCCGCAUCCUUUGCUGAGGAUACGGUUAACGGAGCGAAAGCGACGUUCAACCGCAAAACAAGCAGAGGGGGCUUAGUGGUGGGGUGACUGCGUACCUUUUGUAUAAUGGGUCAGCGACUUAUAUUCUGUAGCAAGGUUAACCGAAUAGGGGAGCCGGAGGGAAACCGAGUCUUAAUUGGGCGUUAAGUUGCAGGGUAUAGACCCGAAACCCGGUGAUCUAGCCAUGGGCAGGUUGAAGGUUGGGUAACACUAACUGGAGGACCGAACCGACUAAUGUUGAAAAAUUAGCGGAUGACCUGUAGCUGGGGGUGAAAGGCCAAUCAAACCGGGAGAUAGCUGGUUCUCCCCGAAAGCUAUUUAGGUAGCGCCUCGUGAAUUCAUCUCCGGGGGUAGAGCACUGUUUCGGCUAGGGGGCCAUCCCGGCUUACCAACCCGAUGCAAACUGCGAAUACCGGAGAAUGUUAUCACGGGAGACACACGGCGGGUGCUAACGUCCGUCGUGAAGAGGGAAACAACCCAGACCGCCAGCUAAGGUCCCAAAGUCAUGGUUAAGUGGGAAACGAUGUGGGAAGGCCCAGACAGCCAGGAUGUUGGCUUAGAAGCAGCCAUCAUUUAAAGAAAGCGUAAUAGCUCACUGGUCGAGUCGGCCUGCGCGGAAGAUGUAACGGGGCUAAACCAU